ACUCCUACGGGAGGCAGCAGUGGGGAAUCUUGGACAAUGGGGGCAACCCUGAUCCAGCCAUGCCGCGUGAGUGAAGAAGGCCUUAGGGUCGUAAAGCUCUUUCGCCUGUGAAGAUAAUGACGGUAGCAGGUAAAGAAACCCCGGCUAACUCCGUGCCAGCAGCCGCGGUAAUACGGAGGGGGUUAGCGUUGUUCGGAAUUACUGGGCGUAAAGCGCGCGUAGGCGGACCAGAAAGUUGGGGGUGAAAUCCCGGGGCUCAACCCCGGAACUGCCUCCAAAACUCCUGGUCUUGAGUUCGAGAGAGGUGAGUGGAAUUCCGAGUGUAGAGGUGAAAUUCGUAGAUAUUCGGAGGAACACCAGUGGCGAAGGCGGCUCACUGGCUCGAUACUGACGCUGAGGUGCGAAAGUGUGGGAGCAAACAGGAUUAGAUACCCUGGUAGGACAGUG
rnacentral:rRNA from 1 species